AGUCACUGACAUUAGAUACCCGCGUAGUCCAGGGUGUAAACGCUGCAGACUUGGUGUUGGGAACCCUUCGGGGGUGCUCAGUGCCGGAGAGAAGUUGUUAAGCCUGCUGCUUGGGGAGUACGUCCGCAAGGAUGAAACUUAAAGGAAUUGGCGGGGGAGCACCGCAACGGGAGGAGCGUGCGGUUCAAUUGGAUUCAACGCCGGACAACUCACCAGGAGCGACGGUUACAUGAAGGCCAGGCUGAUGACCUUGCCUGAUUUUCCG
rnacentral:rRNA from 1 species